ensembl:lncRNA
AGAGACUGCAUGAAUGCACUUUUAUUGAAACCAUGGUCUCAUAUACAGAUGCCUCGUAUGAGACUGAUGCAUGCAAGGCCACUCCUCUUUUACUAGGCAUCAGUCCAAAAGAGGCACAGAGGCCAUGGCACAGAGGCCAUGCCUCCAUCACUAGGUUCAGAGGACAUACCUCUCUAAAUUAUGACUGUAGGUACAGCGGACAUGCGUCCUUCACUAGGACUGACAGGUACAGAGGACACACCUCCUUCACUAGGACUGACAGGUACAGAGGACACACCUCCUUCACUAGGACUGACAGGUACAGAGGACACACCUCCUUCACUAAGACUGACAGGUACAGAGGACACACCUCCUUCACUAUACCUGAAAGGUACAGAUGACACGCCUCCUUAACUAGGACUGACAGGUACAGAGGACAUGCCUCUCUCACUUUGACUGACAGGUACAGAGGACACACCUCCUUCGCUAGGACUGACAGGUACAGACAUAUAGGCCACACCUCCUUCACUGUACAGGACAGCUGUAAGGCCAUGCCCCCUUUGUGGGACUGACAGACAUUUAGGCCACACCUCUUUCACAGUUGACAGAUAUAUAGACCAUGCCUUUUUAAGUGGGCUGAAUCAGUUUUUAUACUCCUACUAUAAAAUGUUUGAUCACCACAAGAACAAUGAUACAGUUUUGUUUGUGUGUGUGUGUGUGUGUGUGUGUGUGUGUGUGUGUGUGGGGCAGAAAGCGAAUUAUGAACUCAUGUCUUCCUGAAUGCUUGUGAAAUGACUCGCAGUCACAGUGUGAAUGUCUAAACAAAGAGUGUAUUGAUGUGUCACAUGUGAGACAUUCCUCUCCUCACAGCCAGUCCAGUCCAUCAACUCAACAGCUCACACAUGGCCACACAAACACAAAAACACACAGUGUAAGGUGCGUUUCACACGAACCCACACACAUUACCGGGGUGUGUAUGCUGUGCAUGCUG